CCUACGGGGGGCAGCAGUGGGGAAUAUUGGACAAUGGGGGGAACCCUGAUCCAGCCAUGCCGCGUGUGUGAAGAAGGCCCUCGGGUUGUAAAGCACUUUCAGUGAGGAAGAACGCCUGGUGGUUAAUACCCAUCAGGAAAGACAUCACUCACAGAAGAAGCACCGGCUAACUCCGUGCCAGCAGCCGCGGUAAUACGGAGGGUGCGAGCGUUAAUCGGAAUUACUGGGCGUAAAGCGCGCGUAGGUGGCUUGAUAAGCCGGUUGUGAAAGCCCCGGGCUCAACCUGGGAACGGCAUCCGGAACUGUCAAGCUAGAGUGCAGGAGAGGAAGGUAGAAUUCCCGGUGUAGCGGUGAAAUGCGUAGAGAUCGGGAGGAAUACCAGUGGCGAAGGCGGCCUUCUGGACUGACACUGACACUGAGGUGCGAAAGCGUGGGUAGCAAACAGGAUUAGAUACCCCUGUAUC
rnacentral:rRNA from 1 species